rnacentral:rRNA from 1 species
GACGAACGCUUGCGGCGUGCCUAAGAAAUGCAAGUCGAGCGGGGAUGCUUCGCAUCGAGAUGAUAGAGGCUAGAUGGAAGAUGGCAGAUUCUUCCAUCCUCCAUCUUCCAUCUUGUCAUCUGGAUGCGGAGCAUUCCAGCGGCGAACGGUCGCGUAACACGUAAGCAACCUGCCCCGAAGACCGGGACAACAGUGAGAAAUCGCUGCUAAUACCGGGAUGUGGCCACCGGGAGACAUCUUCUGGUGAUUAAACGAGCUAGCAAUAGUAUUCGGCUUCGGGAGGGGCUUGCGGCCUAUCAGCUAGUUGGUGGGGUAACGGCCUACCAAGGCGACGACGGGUAGCUGGUCUGAGAGGACGAUCAGCCGGA